GUGCUGGUAGUUUAAGGGUAAAACGCCUGAUUGUGGUUCAGGAGUUCAGGGUUCGAAUCCCGCCAGUCACC
rfam:Filimonas lacunae strain DSM 21054 genome assembly, contig: Ga0111651_113